rnacentral:rRNA from 1 species
GACGAACGCUGGCGGCGUGCCUAAUACAUGCAAGUCGAACGCGUCUACGUUAAUGAAAUCAAUGUGCUUGCACGGCGAUGGAUUUAACAUUAGACGAGUGGCGAACUGGUGAGUAACACGUGGGUAACCUGCCCUCAAGCAGGGGAUAACACUUGGAAACAGGUGCUAAUACCGUAUAACAACAAAAACCGCAUGGUUUUUGUUUGAAAGAUGGUUUCGGCUAUCACUUGAGGAUGGACCCGCGGCGUAUUAGCUAGUUGGUGAGGUAAUGGCUCACCAAGGCAAUGAUACGUAGCCGACCUGAGAGGGUAAUCGGCCACAUUGGGACUGAGACACGGCCCAAACUCCUACGGGAGGCAGCAGUAGGGAAUCUUCCACAAUGGACGAAAGUCUGAUGGAGCAACGCCGCGUGAGUGAAGAAGGGUUUCGGCUCGUAAAACUCUGUUGUUAAAGAAGAACAGGUGUAAGAGUAACUGUUUACACCGUGACGGUAUUUAACCAGAAAGCCACGGCUAACUACGUGCCAGCCGCCGCCGUAACAC